AUAUUAUAGGGUAUAAAUUGUAAAAUUUUCUAGAUAUCGGGGGAUAUCAAUUAGGAUUUUCA
rnacentral:tRNA from 1 species